GUUCAAGAAAAACAUAAAAAUAUAAUAUUAGAUGAAGAAAUAUAUAACAAAUUUAUAUAUAAAAAAAUAAAAAAUAAAGAAAUUAAGCAUACAUAAAUACAUUUACCUCACUUGGGAACUUCAAAAUCAAACUAGACUAGGUGCUGAGAAGAUCCUUGCUACUUCAAGACGAUCAAAUGGGAUUUGAAGGGAUAUUUUCUUGGUUUUUGGGAGCAAAAGAAAGUAAGCAAAACUGAAGAAGAAAAAAGAAAAAAACUUGAAGGUCUUUUCUUCUUUUUAAGGGAAAGGAAAUAAAUAAAAAUAAAAAUCAAGGUUGCACUAAAAUGUUAAGAAAAGUUUUAAGACAACUGGGUUCAAAGGAUUUGUGUUAUGAGAUUACCUCGAUAUGGGGAGCUAAAUUAUUGAUGUUGGCACUGAUUGGUUUGGUAAUGGCCCCAUCCAUUUAUUUUGCAAUUAUGAUAGGAGACGACUUAGAAAAAGAUGAGUCUUUGGGUCCUAUUUUCACACUUGAUAAUUAGCACAUCAACCACCCCUAAAUUAUGACCAUUAUUUUAAAUCUAUUUUCAAACUUCAAAUUCAUCUACUAAACAAUUGAUGUUAUAUUAAUCAAAUUAUUUUGUUGUUAAAAUCAAUAAAUGAUACGUUAAAUUUUAUAUAGCUAAUUUUAAAAUAAAAAUUUAAAGAAACUAAAAUUAAAUAAAACUGAAUUUUUUAAAAAAUGAACAAUAAAAAUUUUGUAAAAACUUCAAAACCAAGUUUUUUAAAAUUAACUAUUUUUACAAUUUUUUUUAAAUUUUCAUACUUCUGUAUCUGAUUGUUUUUUUACAAUAUGGUAUGUUUUAAAGUUUUGAUUAGAAUGGCAUGUACUUAGGAAAAAUAUUAGGUAUGUUCCAAGUAUUAGUUUUUUAUGUUCAAUUAUAUUAGUAAUUAGCCAAGUAUUAAUUUGGCACCAAAUGUAAUAUUCUUAUAUCAGGUUCCUUAAGUCGAACAUGGUAUAGGGGUGUUACAUUUAGAAUUUUCUGCCAUUUUUGAUUCUCCAUUGAUGUCCAUUUCUCCUUCUCCUGUUGUCGCACAUUGAAGUUUUUGUUGCCCUCAUAAUUUCUGCAUUGCUGCCCCAUCUAAGUCUCAUCUUGUCAUCAUUAUAUCUCACCCCUUGACUGAACCCUCUUAGCUUGGUUAGUGAGCAUUCAUUAUUGUUAAUCGACUAUUAACGCAGAUCUUCAAACCGGUGUAGCGUUAAGAAGGAAUCGAGACGAAUCCGAGUUGUAGUGGUGCUCCGGUCAAUUGUUAAUAUUCUAUGGAUUGUAAUUGAGGUGUGAGAUUCAAAUCAAUUGUGAGUGGUGUAUGCAUGUGUACUAUUUUGCAUGUUGGCCGAAUAACGUUGUUUUACCAAAUACUUAUCGAUCAACUUCCAAUUAGCUGCUACUGGUUCCUUUUGUUACUGACUUGCUAUUUAAUUUGCUUCAAUUUUGUUGCUUAACCUCGUACGAUCAAAUGGGAUUUGAAGGGAUAUUUUCUUGGUUUUUGGGAGCAAAAGAAAGUAAGCAAAACUGAAGAAGAAAAAAGAAAAAAACUUGAAGGUCUUUUCUUCUUUUUAAGGGAAAGGAAAUAAAUAAAAAUAAAAAUCAAGGUUGCACUAAAAUGUUAAGAAAAGUUUUAAGACAACUGGGUUCAAA
rnacentral:lncRNA from 1 species